rnacentral:SRP_RNA from 1 species
CCUCGGGCCCUGUGCAACAUGUCCCUCGAAUCAUGUCAGGUCCGGAAGGAAGCAGCAUUAAGAGGUAGCGCAUGUGUGCCGCAGGUCACCCGAGGCCU